GCGUAUUUCUUAAAUCCCAAAUACCACUACAGCCGAAACCUCUUCGAAGAUAAUUCAUUAAAGAGGGCUGUGCAUGAGGUGUACGAUCACUUAUUCCCCGACUGUCCUGGGAAAGGCACCUUUGGUAGUAAGAUUGUUAAAUUCUGCGACGCAGUUGGGAUGUUUGGGUGUCACCCUGCAGUAAAGUCAAGGAACGCCAUGAUGCCAUGUGAAUGGUGGUCCAUGUAUGAGACUGACUGUGAGAUUUUACAACGACUAGCCAUCCUUGUGCUUGCACGGACGGUGUCCUCGUCACCCUGUGAAAGGAAUUGGAGUACAUUCUCCCUCAUAUAUACAAAUAAACGUAAUAGAAUAGGGUAUGAGAGGCUUUAGAAGCUAGUGUAUUGUCAUUACAAUAUGAAGUUACGAGAGAGGUUGCUCCGCUCGGAAGGAAGAAGAAAAGCACAAGAAGACCCACUGGACCUGAUGACGGUCAGACAGCAUGCAUAUG